AAGCCAAGUUUUCCCAACUGUCAAAGAUUUGCUAACAAUUCUAAAAAUUUGCCGGAAUAUGUUGUACAUCAGCUAAAAGCUUAACUCGAGGCGAUCCCUGGCACUUCACCCAUCAUACAACUUGUAGCUGGCUUCAAAAUAUCGGCAAUCAAUGCCAGUCACUUGUCCAGCGAAAUUAGAUUUACUCGACGAUGCCUUUUGCUGCACCCUACAUUUGGCCGCAGCGCCUUGGUCCAUUCAAAGAGCUGAAACUGGGGCUGGAGCAGCCACUGCUGCAUUAGGCAUUGCCAUACUUUCAUCCUCAUCCUGCUGCUCAGUGUAGUUGCAAUGUUGGCAAAUCGAGGGUGUUUGGGGGCAUGUAGAUCCUUUGCCAUUUGCAAUGGGAAUUGCCAAGCGCAUCGAAAUUGAAUUCGAAUUGAAAAAACACAGACAACGUCGCAGAUUUGGUUUUUGGUUUAAUUUCGCAACAGAAGUCCUUGUGAUUUGUACUCGGCUCCUUUAUGGUAAUUGUUGAGAAAAUUGCAUUAGUUCGAUGCACGCCGAAUUAUCCUUGGGCAUCACUAUGCAAUCACACUGCAAUUUACCAUAUUUGCCCACAAAGAAACUUAUUUUCUUCGAGUCCUUCAGGGCAUGUGAUAUGCAGGCAGGUUUUUUCUUCAAUUUGGUAAAUAUUUGCAAAGCGCAACAUCGACUUGGAAAUAACGCAUUUUGUUGCAGGGCAAAUAUAUGUGUAUAUAUAGUCAGUUUGACUCUCAAUCGUAAUAUAUACUUCGUUUAACAAUUGAAAACGAGUCUGCUUGAAAACGUAUAGAGACUUGGAGCUUGGAAUAUAUAUAUGGGUAAAAACUCUUAUUUCUUGAACUUAUAGUCACAGGGAAUGAACUCUGCUAGGCAGUUCUUAACAAAUUAAUGGAGGUGCUUAAUAUUUGUUGGUUGUAUGUUAUAUCUGUACACAAAAUAACCGACACGUUCGAUCACAUCUAACUGCACACUUCAUACUUAUUUUUAUACCCUUCAAAUGAGUUUAGAGAUUACAACGUCUUUGUGCAAAUGUAUGUUACAGUCAAUAGAAAGCAUCUUCGAGCCCAUUGAGUGUAUAUACUCAUGUUCAGUUAGACGAUCCAGCUAAGUCCAUCUCUCCUGCUACAAAAGCUAGAAACAAGCCGUUGUUGCUGUAUUAAAUACCGGUUAGGAGGAGGCCUGGCCAAAAGAAUUUAUGCAUUAAGCUAAGGAGGAGCCCCGGCAACCUGUGAGCCAAAGCAAUCAGCCAGAGACGUUUGGCGUAUGGGCACUGGGUGCGCAUUUCGAUGAUGUACGACGAAUGUCCUGGCACACACACAAACCGUUCAUUAUAAAGGAGUCAGGUCGUCAGGUGAGCCGCAGCGGCAACGGCAACGACGACGACGACGACCGCAGGCAAGAAGACGCAAAUUAAUUAUUAAUCAACGAAACGCAGCAAGCAAAAAAGUUGCGGCAACAGCAGACGAAGAAGGAGGAGCUGGAGCAGCAGCAGCAGCAGUGGGAGCUGGAGCUGCUUAGAGGUGAAGUUGAAGGAGGAUCGCUAAGCGAUCAGGCCCAGACCAAGGAGUGAUUUAUGCCCCAGCAACCGCCAAAGCUAACGAAUCGCACAUUCUGACGUUGUGCCAAGAUGGACGACGAUGCCAAAUGACGAGGGCCUCAUGCAAUGCAAUCAAGCGCAGCGAACACUAACAGCAACAGCGCAAAUACACUGCAAAAAAUACAAAUAUUUUGUAA